AUCGUAACUCCUACGGGAGGCAGCAGUUAGGAAUCUUCGGCAAUGGGGGAAACCCUGACCGAGCGACACUGCUUGAAGGAUGAAGGUCUUCGGAUCGUAAACUUCUGAACCUGCGACGAAAAAUGACGGUAGCAGGCUAAUAGCACCGGCUAACUCCGUGCCAGCAGCCGCGGUAAUACGGAGGGUGCAAGCGUUAUCCGGAAUCACUGGGCGUAAAGGGCGCGUAGGCGGUUUGUUAAGUCCGAUGUUAAAGACCGAGGCUCAACCUCGACACGGCGUUGGAUACUGGCAAGCUGGACGGUUGGAGAGGAAGGUAGAAUUACCAGUGUAGCGGUGGAAUGCGUAGAUACUGGUAGGAAUACCCAUUGCGAAGGCAGCCUUCUGGACAACACGUGACGCUGAGGCGCGAAAGUGUGGGGAGCAAACCGGAUUAGAAACCCUGGUAGUCCUAGAGC
rnacentral:rRNA from 1 species